GGUCUCGCAGCUCAGCUGGUAGAGCAUGCGCGUACAAAGCGUAGGCAGCCUCCACGCGUGGGUUCGAAUCCCACGGAGGCUA
rnacentral:tRNA from 1 species